rnacentral:misc_RNA from 1 species
CCCUUUUCUAUUUUCAGUUGAGCAAUGCUCGAUGUACUUAUCGACGAUCUGAUCUAUUGCUUGAGCCUCCAAUGUUCCUGGAGCUUUCUCCAGUAUUUCUUCACCAGCCUCUGGAGUUAUUUUGAAGGGACUGCCUAUCACGGUUGUAUUAGUGCUGUGCAAAUUGUUUUUAUUUGUGUAAUUUAGUGUCUGAAAUGAAUAUUUUUGUUCGAAUAAAAUAUUUGGGGAAUUUACAAACCAUGCAAUUCCUCCUGCAGGAGCUUCUCGUUUAAUGAGAUUCUGCCAAUGUUGAUUUACUUCCUCUACUAUAUGCAAAGCAAAAUCUCUUGGUUUUGCCUCCCCAUUAAAUGCAAAUUGAUUCUCUGGUUUACCAUCUGGUAUCUUAUAAAUCUUGAACCAUUCAAUUGUAGCUUUCAUUAGACCAGGAUAAAGCUUUUCAAUAUCAGAUACAUCUGUAAAAAAAUACCAUAAAUUGGUAAAUAAAUCAGAGUAUGAUUAAUCUAAUCAUUAGCUGUAGAAUAUUAGUCUUACCAUUCAUUUGAUCUGCCAAGGGGUCAUUGACAUCGAUAACAAUAAUUUUCCAAUCAGUUUCACCUAAAAUUAGCAAAAAUAAGAUAACAUAUCUGAAAAAAUAAUUCUUAAUUAUUUAUUAAAUAUUACACACCUUCAUCAAUGAGUGCAACACAACCCAAAAUUUUUACCUUCAAGAUCUCUCCUCUUUUGGCAAUCUAAUGAC